AGUGAACGCUGGCGGUAGGCCUAACACAUGCAAGUCGAACGGCAGCACAGUAAGAGCUUGCUCUUACGGGUGGCGAGUGGCGGACGGGUGAGGUAUACAUCGGUAUCCACUUUUUCGUGGGGGAUAACGUAGGGAAACAUACGCUAAUACCGCAUACGCCCUACGGGUGAAAGCAGGGGAUCUUCAGACUUUGCGCGUGUGUAUGAGCCGAUGUCGGAUUAGCUAGUUGGCGGGGUAAAGGCCCACCAAGGCGACGAUCCGUAGCUGGUCUGAGAGGAUGAUCAGCCACACUGGAACUGAGACACGGUCCAGACUCCUACGGGAGGCAGCAGUGGGGAAUAUUGGACAAAGGGCGCAAGCCUGAUCCAGCCAUACCGCGUGGGUGAAGAAGGCCUUCGGGUUGUAAAGCCCUUUUGUUGGGAAAGAAAAGCAGCAGGUUAAUACCCCGCUGUUCUGACGGUACCCAAAGAAUAAGCACCGGCUAACUUCGUG
rnacentral:rRNA from 1 species